AAGCGCAGAAGCAUAGCAGCGUACCGGCAAGCCUUGUUAUGCGAAGCUUUCAGUAGGGGUUGUGCAGCAACCUCAAGCCGGAGUAGGCGCAGCUUGCGCCGAACGAAAAUGCUCAAA
ncrna:unclassified sequences drum RNA